CUGUCACAUCACACUGUGACUUAUUUUGAGUUUUUUGGUGUUUUCCUGUGUGUAGUGUUUUAGUUCUUGUCUUGCGUUCCUAUUUUGGUGUCUUUCUCUUUUUUUGGUGUUUUCCUGUAGCAGUUUCAUGUCUUCCUUUGAAUGAUAUUUCCCACAUCUACUUUGUUUUAGCAAUCAAGAAUAUUUCAGUUGUUUUUAUCAUUCUUUGUGGGGACAUUGUUGAUCGUCAUGUUAUGUUCGGGAUUUACAUUGUGGAUGCGGUCUUUGCUCCACAGUAAGUCUUUGCUGUUGUCCAGCAUUCUGUUUUUGUUUACUUAGUAGCCAGUUCAGUUUUAGUAUCGUUCUGCAUAGCCUUCCCUAAGCUUCAAUGCCUUUUCUUAGGGGCGCUCACCUUUUGUUUAUUUUUGGUUUAAGCAUUAGACACCUUUUUACCUGCACACUGCCUCCCGCUGUUUCCGACAUCUACAAAGCAAUUAGCUGCCUGCUGCCACCUAUAGAUAUGAAAGAGUAUGACAUAGUUUCUCUGCCGAGCUGUAGACAGCACCGACACUCAACAACACAUAAUUUGCAGACUAUAAUUACUGGUUUGCAAAAAAUAUUUUUAACCCAAAUAGGUGAAAUUAGAUAAUCUCCAACGGCACACCAGACUGUAUCUCACGGCACACUAGUGUGCCGCGGCACAGUGGUUGAAAAACACUGACCUAGAGGAUGAAGAAAUAACAGAUGAUGCUAACUAAGCAGGCAAGGAAAAUAUGCCGUGGCAUUGGAGAUGAAGGACUGAAACGGCUGAAUGCGAGUGGUCUCAGUGAGGAUGACAAGAAGAAGCUUGCUAAACUAUGGGAAUUCUAUGAAGAGGGUUCAUCCCAAUAAAUGGACAACAUACACAGACCUGAUAGAAUCCCACAGAAAGAGAAGAUUGUCUUCUGCAGAGAAACCUCCCCAUCAAGCAUGUAAAGAUCACAAGCUUACUGUCUCUUCACGGUGGGUAACGCAGACAACACUUGACAAGCUUGUGCUAAAUUUUGUAUGUCAAGCCAAUCAACCAUUUUCUGUGGUUGAGACACCAUCCUUCAAGACUAUGAUAGAAACCCUGCAACCUCAGUGUACAGUUAUGACAAGAAAACACAUUUAGCUGUAGAAUACAGGAAGCUGCGAAGACAAUGAAGAGCAUCAUUGUCAGAAAACUGGGUGCUGUGAAUCAUGUUGCUACCACAUCUGACUGCUGGUCUGCCAGACAAGGUAGUUACUUAGGUGUCACCUGCCACUGGAUAGACCAUAACUCUCGAGACACUCCGCUGUAGACGCCUCAAAGGCUCUCACACAUUUGAUGUGCUUGCUGCAGCAUUAGAGGAUGUACAUUCCGAGUACCAAAUCAUGGGAAAAAGUGACCAGGACAACAACAGACAGUGGUUCAAACUUCAUGAAGGCCUUUCGAGUAUAUGGUGCACAGGAGGAGUCGCUGAUGAUGGACAGAAGGGGAAAGACUCAGAAGGGUCAGAAGAUGAGAGUGUCGGAGGUGGAGUACCAAGAUGUGUCUGAUAUUUUGGAUAAUGACAGUUGCCUCGAAUAUCACCUUCCAAAGCACCAAAAGUGUGCAUGCCAUCUCCUCAAUCUCAUCUCUGCAGUUGACACCGCUGCUGCAGGAGCACGCAGCGAAACAUACAAGAGGUUGUCACGUGCUGCCUUUGCACAAUGUAGUGCUCUGUGGAAUAAGACCAGCAGGUCAACCACAGCAUUUGAAAUUGUGGAACGUGAAUGCAAGAUGCAGUUUCUCCGACCCAAUCAAACUUGUUGGAGCUCCCCGUUCUUCGUUGUAGAAAGGGUUGUGCGCAUUCGGAAGGAACAAGUAGAAAAAGCAGUCCGCAAUGUGUGCAUAGCACUGCGGAUACAGAUGUAAGUUGGCAGAACUCGCAUUGUUUUAAGUGUAAUAGAACAAAUGUGGGCAUUGCUAAUUAAUGCGGGUGAAUCCACCUGUUUUAAGAUCAAUAGGAGAAGGAGAAUGGCUGGACACGUACUCCGACUGCCAAGAGAGAGACCGGCAAGUGUGGCAAUGGACGGUGCCAGAAGGGGGAAAGAGGAAGAGAAGACUUGGAGACAAACAGCCAAGGAAGACCUGAGAGAGAUGGGAGUCAGCUGGCAUGGAGCAAGAAGAGUCGCCAGUGACCGGAACAAAUGGAGGGGACUCGUCGCCCAAUGUUCCAACAGGAAUGGGAGGAACUAAGUCUAAGCUCAAUACAGCUGAAAUGGCAUUUUUUACUGAGUACGCUGCUGUAAUGAAGCCUGUUGCCAUGGGCCUGAACAUCCUUGCAUUUGGGCUUCCUGCUGCCAACACUUCACCAGUUGCAGGACAAGCUGAAGAAGUUGGAGUCAUCUUGCAAAGUGUGUAGACCUCUCAUUGAUGUCCUGCAGGAGAGGAUGCAGAAACGUUUCGGAGAGAUGAUGAAACAUCCUGAGCAGAUUGCAGCAGCUAUACUCCUACCAAAAUUCAGGACAUCCUGGACCACUGAUGAGCAUCUUAAAUGACGGCCUCGGCUACAUCAAAAAUCACCUGGACACUGACUUGGAGAUGGAUGAUGCUCCCACAAACAGUAGUCACUCUGAUGAAGAUGACUUCUUUGCAUCGCUGAGUACAGGACAAUCAAAAACAGGAGACCUGGGAAGUACCUUUUAUGGCCAUCCACUGGAGGUAUGGAUCUCUUGCAUUCCUUUCCUCAAAUCAAGAGCCUGUCACUGAAAAUCAACACAGGCCUCCCAGAAUCUGCAGCCUGUGAGAGACUUUUUAGUCACGCAGGACUCCUGUUCACGGCUAAAAGGUCACAGCUUCACAGUGUGAACCUUGAGAGCCAGUUGGUGUUGAAACUGAAUAGUCACUUAACUGAGUGAUUCGGAGUGAGCACACGCGCACACACACACACAUCAGAAGUGCACAUUGUGUUCCGAAGUGCAGCCCACACCUAUCAGAGUUUAUGGUUUGCGUAAAGGCUAACUUGUUCUUUUCCUUAGUAAUCUCUGCCUAUUGAGCCUAUUGUGCUGUUAAGUUAUUGUGGCUCAAUUUGCCUUAAUUUAUUUUAUUUUAAUGUAUCAUUUAAUUUAUUAUUGUUUUAGUUGCUUAAGAGAUAUUCUUGGCUCUGAAUUCGUUCAUUGCUAUUUUUAUGUUUUUGUGCAUUAUUUGUUGCCGUUGUCAUUAAACGAACAGGUUACUCAUCAGUUACUCAGUACUUGAGUAGUUUUUUCACAACAUACUUUUUACUUUUACUCAAGUAAAUAUUUGGGUGAUUACUCCUU